rnacentral:lncRNA from 1 species
GUCCUUACCCAUUAAAAGGAUCAAUAACAUCCUUCCCAGAGCCUCCAGACCAAAUAUACACAGAACAGACACCUGAACUGGAAGGGAUGAGUAAGGCACCCUUGGAGACACGCUUCCCUACAGAAGUGGAGUUGCAGUGUGUUUCUGAGGCAUUUGAUGCUCCCUUGAGUGAGAUUGAUUUUGGGAAGAACAGCUGGAGGUUGGAGCAGGGGGCCAGAAGUCUUAUUUUUCUGGGAAGGAUCCUGAUUCUAGUCUGGAGACCAAGUGCAAAGUUUAGUUGGAAUUCCCUACAAAUUUUGGAAAUAUUCAAAAAAUUUCAUCAGUUCCUGUACUGUUUCAGGGCCAGUAUGGGGCUACGUAGGGCUCAUGUUGGCUGCAGUUUCUCACCCAGGAGGAGCUUCUUCACCCUGCUGAAUAACUUGCAGUGUGUAGCAGACCCAGAAUCUGAAAUGUAAGAGCAGCGGGUCAGGGGAGCGAGGGUUCAGUGGAGUAAACUGCUGUGGCCAGUCAAAGCUGGGACUCUGGAAGGGGUCACACGCUUGGGACUGUGCUGUGAGCUCCCACCCCAACAGUGGGAACAACUUUUGCAUAAUUCAGUUACACCUUGGAAGCAGUUAAAGCAAUUAAACAGCAAACUUGGCAUAAUUACUAGUUAAUAGUCAAAGCCAGUGCUCCUAAAGUGUAAAUUGUUUUGGUAUUGAUCUAAGCUUACACUGUCAGCAUUUUGUAGAGACUGAACUUUAAGUGCUUAAUUCAGCUGUAUGCAACCAUUAAUUUUGUUUUUUAUCUGCAAACAAAGGUGCAAGUGGUUAUUCUAUUUUUCUGCAAUAAUAAAAUCAAUUAAACUGUUUUCCCCCA